rnacentral:lncRNA from 1 species
AUAACUUAGCCAUUCAAGAACUAACUUUAAUUCUUGUUCCAUCUUAUUUAACCAAACGUUAUUUUUUUUAAUCCCAGGAAUAACCCAAUUUUCAUUCAAACGUAAAAUUGAUUUAAUCCCCGCUUAUACCUCAAUUUAUACCUAUCCUUGGAAUAACAACUUUUUGUUUAUACCACUUUUUGCUUAUUAUGCAUAGAAUAAUAAUUUCUU